rnacentral:tRNA from 1 species
UGGAGUUGUAGCUCAGUGGUAGAGCACUUGCCUACCAUGUACAAGGCUUUGGGAUCAAUCCCCAAUAUUGAA